UACGUAGGCAGCAAGCGUUGUUCGGAGUUACUGGGCGUAAAGGGUGUGUAGGCGGUUCUUUAAGUUUGGUGUGAAAUCUCCCGGCUCAACCGGGAGGGUGCGCCGAAUACUGAGGGACUAGAGUGCGGGAGAGGAAAGUGGAAUUCCUGGUGGAGCGGUGAAAUGCGUUGAUAUCAGGAGGAACACCGGCGGCGAAGGCGGUGGUCUGGUCGGUUUCUGACGCUGAGGAGCGAAAGCUAGGGGAGCAAACGGG
rnacentral:rRNA from 1 species